CAAAAAGUAGUUUAUAAAAAAUAGUAGUUUUGGGUACUACAGAAGAUUUUUUCUUUUUGA
rnacentral:tRNA from 1 species